rnacentral:rRNA from 1 species
UGCAAGUCGAACGGUAGCACAGAGAGCUUGCUCUCGGGUGACGAGUGGCGGACGGGUGAGUAAUGUCUGGGAAACUGCCUGAUGGAGGGGGAUAACUACUGGAAACGGUAGCUAAUACCGCAUAACGUCGCAAGACCAAAGAGGGGGACCUUCGGGCCUCUUGCCAUCAGAUGUGCCCAGAUGGGAUUAGCUAGUAGGUGGGGUAACGGCUCACCUAGGCGACGAUCCCUAGCUGGUCUGAGAGGAUGACCAGCCACACUGGAACUGAGACACGGUCCAGACUCCUACGGGAGGCAGCAGUGGGGAAUAUUGCACAAUGGGCGCAAGCCUGAUGCAGCCAUGCCGCGUGUAUGAAGAAGGCCUUCGGGUUGUAAAGUACUUUCAGCGGGGAGGAAGGUGUUGAGGUUAAUAACCUCAUCAAUUGACGUUACCCGCAGAAGAAGCACCGGCUAACUCCGUGCCAGCAGCCGCGGUAAUACGGAGGGUGCAAGCGUUAAUCGGAAUUACUGGGCGUAAAGCGCACGCAGGCGGUCUGUCAAGUCGGAUGUGAAAUCCCCGGGCUCAACCUGGGAACUGCAUUCGAAACUGGCAGGCUAGAGUCUUGUAGAGGGGGGUAGAAUUCCAGGUGUAGCGGUGAAAUGCGUAGAGAUCUGGAGGAAUACCGGUGGCGAAAGGCGGCCCCCUGGGACAAAGACUGACGCCUCAGGUGCGAAAAGCGGUGGGGGAGCCAAACCAGGAUUUAGG